CUCCCCCCUCCCCCCAGUCCAAAGUAGGGGCGUCUCAGUCGACCUGUCCAAAAGCAUCCGCUGCAGAGAGAGAAGAGUGACACUCGAAGACAGAAGAAAGGAAAGGAAGACUCCGAGAGCGACUGCGACAGCACUGCAGCAGGACAAGGUGCAAGAGGAACACCUAAAAAAUGAAUCAGCUUCGCUCGCCAAAAACACGUGAAAGGGGUUGGGCCCCUUUGCUAAUUGCGGAGGCCAAAGAGGAGCGCGGAUACAUCAGACCUCCCCCCCCCC